UACGUAGGGUGCGAGCGUUGUCCGGAAUUAUUGGGCGUAAAGGGCUCGUAGGCGGUUUGUCGCGUCGGGAGUGAAAACACCGGGCUUAACUCGGUGCUUGCUUUCGAUACGGGCAGACUAGAGGCAUGCAGGGGAGAACGGAAUUCCUGGUGUAGCGGUGAAAUGCGCAGAUAUCAGGAGGAACACCGGUGGCGAAGGCGGCCCUCUGGUCCAGUACUGACACUCAAGUGCGAAAGCGUGGGGAGCAAACAGG
rnacentral:rRNA from 1 species